rnacentral:lncRNA from 1 species
GGAAGGUCAAGUCCGUGAAUUGGGAGAGUAUAAUAAAGACCUUUCAGUCCAAUUGAAGAAGGAGUCAAUCGAAGGAUUGAAAGAGGAUGAAAGUUUGUAUUUGAAAUCGGUAGAACAAACAAUAGAUAAUGUGAAAGUUGAUCAAUUAGGCAGGCCAGGGAGAUAGCAAUUUUGUAGAAUUUUGUUAAGUAGUUUUUCUUAGAUAUGUAUCAAUUUUGUGUUUGCGAGGACAUUGCAUAGUUAAGAGUGGGGCUAUGUAGAAUGGAUAGAAAUUCAUUUUUAUAAGGUAUUGAUAAAGUAGAUUAAUCAUUUUCAUGAUAGUCAAUUCAAUAGGUCAGAUGAUUGAAAUAGUUAUGAAAAAUAGUUAAGGAAUGACAAUUAGAAUCUAGAAUUUUAGGACUAAGUAUAUAAUAGUUGUAGAAGAUAUAGGAAGGGCCAAAGUGUGAUAGACAUGAGCCGGGAUGAACUUGGUGCUAUCUCUUAUUUCUUGUUUAUUUUGUUGUUUUAGGUUUUGAUCACAUGACUAUAUGGUGAAAGAUGAUAAUAUGGAUCUUAUUAUAGAAGAGCCAAGUUAAAAGAAAAGAUAGAAAAAUAUGGAUAAAAGAUAGGAAG